AAUUAAAAAUUUCAUCCAUUUGUACUGUUAAAAGUUAGUUUCGCUGACAAAUCACGUGUACUUCAUAUUGAUAUACAGGGACCAGUUUUUAUCAGUAGAAAUAACGGAAUUUGUAACA
rfam:Gossypium hirsutum cultivar TM-1 unplaced genomic scaffold scaffold171.1, whole genome shotgun sequence